AUGGCGGAAUCGCGGCCGCAGUUCGAGGCCCUGCUGUGGAGGGGCCGCCGCCCGUCCGCCGCAUGUCGCAGGUCCUGGCACUGCGACAUCCUCCCACUGCCCCCGUGGAUCAUCCACCACAAGCACGCCUUGGUCUACGGUCACGCCCUUGUCGGCGGUGACACCAUCUGCUUCUCCAUCUCCGGCGCAGAGGGCACCGGCACCUACUGCUUCCACACCGCGACUCGCGAGUGGAGCAAGGCUGGCGACUGGAUCAUGCCGUUCAAUGGCAAAGCGGAGUACGUCCCGGAGCUCGGGCUCUGGUUUGGCCUCUCACGCCGCCUCCCCAUCGCUGUCGACCUCUCUGGCGUUGUCAGAGGGGAGGAGCCGCUGCCAGACAAGUUGCGGAUCUGGGAGGAUGAUGACCUGCCAGAGGAGUGCACGUGGCAGCCGAAUGAAUUGUGCGACUCCAAGAUCAUCAGCCUCGGCUCAGGCAGGUUCUUCUUUGCUGGCUUCUUUAAUGACAUGAAAUUCGACAAGGACAGCAGCGAGAUGGUUACUGGCCAGCAAUUUGCCCUCUUUACUGGUAUGGAGGUAGUGUACGGCAAUGGCAAUGGCGUCAACAAAGACAAUUUCAACUGCAAUAGUGGCAACAAUGGCACCAGCAAAGACGAUGGCAACAAUGCCAACAACGGCAGCAAAGGCAAAGGGAUGAUUCGUGGCCUUCGUAUGAUUAAGCACAAGUCCAAACGUUACAUGUUUACGAAGCAGCUGAGCAUCGAGGCGGUGCUCUGA
rnacentral:rRNA from 1 species